rnacentral:rRNA from 1 species
UAGGGGGUGGCUUCCAUCUGGAAGAAUCUGGAGACAGGUGCUGCAUGGCUGUCGUCAGCUCGUGUCGUGAGAUGUUCGGGUUAAGUCCCGCAACGAGCGCAACCCUUGCCUUUAGUUGCCAGCAGUUCGGCUGGGCACUCUAAAGGGACUGCCGGUGUUAAACCGGAGGAAGGUGGGGAUGACGUCAAGUCCUCAUGGCCUUUAUGUCCAGGGCGACACACGUGCUACAAUGGCCGGCACAACGGGAAGCGAGUUCGCGAGGACAAGCGGAUCCCUUAAAGCCGGUCGCAGUUCGGAUUGAAGUCUGCAACUCGACUUCAUGAAGCUGGAAUCGCUAGUAAUCGUGGAUCAGCCAAGCCGCGGUGAAUACGUUCCCGGGCCUU